CUCAGGAAAGUCGAUCUUCCUAGGAUUCGACCUGGGACCUCCAUAACCCUAGAAUAGAUACCUCAACUCAUCUUAGGCUAUCCGGACUUCUAGUUGCUGGUAGGUUGUGACCGUGUUCGGGAUACUGUAUCACCAGUACUCCCCCCUCCUCUGCGUACUAGGUACUUUGGGAUACGUCUUUUAGUACUAUGGUCUGUGUGUCGGACCCUGUACUAUCAAUUUCUACUCUUUAUAUUUUAUAAAUGGAAUUAAAAUUGAUUAUUUAAUCAAUUUUUUCAAUAUCUAUAGUUAUUUCAAACAAUUACUUCAAAAAUUCAUUUAUUGCUUUCUUUUUUAAUUAUAGAGUAUUAAAUGUCGUACAAAACCUCA
rnacentral:lncRNA from 1 species